rnacentral:rRNA from 1 species
AUUGAACGCUGGCGGCAUGCCUUACACAUGCAAGUCGAGCGGCAGCGCGGGGGCAACCCUGGCGGCGAGCGGCGGACGGGUGAGUAAUGCAUCGGAACGUGUCCUCUUGUGGGGGAUAACCAGUCGAAAGACUGGCUAAUACCGCAUGAGCUCGUAAGAGGAAAGCGGGGGACCCGCAAGGGCCUUGCGCGAGAGGAGCGGCCGAUGCCCGAUUAGCUAGUUGGUGGGGAAAAGCCUACCAAGGCGACGAUCGGUAGCUGGUCUGAGAGGACGACCAGCCACACUGGGACUGAGACACGGCCCAGACUCCUACGGGAGGCAGCAGUGGGGAAUUUUGGACAAUGGGGGAAACCCUGAUCCAGCCAUGCCGCGUGUGUGAAGAAGGCC